GACGACCGCUGGCGGCGUGCUUUAACACAUGCAAGUCGAACGGAGCGAAUGAAAGCUUGCUUUUAUAAGCUUAGUGGCAAACGGGUGAGUAACACGUAGACAACCUGCCGACAGGAUGGGGACAACAUUCCGAAAGGAAUGCUAAUACCGAAUGAAGCGCAGGAGAGGCAUCUCUCCUGCGUGAAAGAUGGCCUCUGAAUAUGCUAUCACCUGUUGAUGGGUCUGCGUCUGAUUAGCUGGUAGGUGAGGUAACGGCUCACCUAGGCGACGAUCAGUAGCCGGUCUGAGAGGAUGAACGGCCACAUUGGGACUGAGACACGGCCCAGACUCCUACGGGAGGCAGCAGUGGGGAAUCUUCCGCAAUGGGCGCAAGCCUGACGGAGCAACGCCGCGUGAGUGAAGAAGGUCUUCGGAUCGUAAAGCUCUGUUGAUGGGGACGAACGUGCCUAAUGCGAAUAGUAUUAGGCAAUGACGGUACCCAUCGAGGAAGCCACGGCUAACUAC
rnacentral:rRNA from 1 species